GCUCUGGCUGGGCGGUCCACCUUUGGAUGGUACUGCUCUAGCUGGGGUUUACCUUUCUGGUGAGCCGCGAUGCCCUUUACUGGGUGUCGCGGGGAACCAGGACUUUUACCUUGAAAAAAUUAGAGUGUUUAAAGCAGGCAUCCGCUUGAAUACAUUAGCAUGGAAUAACAGAAUAAGACU
rnacentral:rRNA from 1 species